rnacentral:rRNA from 1 species
AGUGAACGCUGGCGGUAGGCCUAACACAUGCAAGUCGAACGGCAGCACAGUAAGAGCUUGCUCUUACUGGUGGCGAGUGGCGGACGGGUGAGGAAUACAUCGGAAUCUACUUUUUCGGGGGGGAUAACGUAGGGAAACUUACGCUAAUACCGCAUACGACCUACGGGUGAAAGCAGGGGAUCUUCGGACCUUGCGCGAUUGAAUGAGCCGAUGUCGGAUUAGCUAGUUGGCGGGGUAAAGGCCCACCAAGGCGACGAUCCGUAGCUGGUCUGAGAGGAUGAUCAGCCACACUGGAACUGAGACACGGUCCAGACUCCUACGGGAGGCAGCAGUGGGGAAUAUUGGACAAUGGGCGCAAGCCUGAUCCAGCCAUACCGCGUGGGUGAAGAAGGCCUUCGGGUUGUAAAGCCCUUUUGUUGGGAAAGAAAAGCAGCAGGUUAAUACCCCGCUGUUCUGACGGUACCCAAAGAAUAAGCACCGGCUAACUUCGUG